CUAACACUUUAAAACUAUAAAUUAAUUUUUAAAAAGGUCUCUUUCCCGCUUCAUUUAACCUCCAUCUCAAAAUGUUGUUUGUGUAGAUCUUAGACAAUUGUGUUUCAAACAAAUCAUACCAGCUGAAUAAAAUAGUGUGUGAGAAGUUCCUUGAGAUAAAAUGAACAGUAUCACACAGUAGGACCUCUGACCCCCCCACAUGUCAGUGUGUGUGUGUGUGUGUGUGUGUGUGUGUGUGUGUGGUGUGUUAAGAACGAUUAAUGCUGUGUGCUAAAAACAUUUUUAAAAACUCUGGAAAUGUUUAUGAAUCACUAUGUUGUUAUUAGUCACAACUACACGCUUGUAUUCUUGUCAUUUCUUUCUCAUGUCUAACCAAAAUUUUUCCUCACCCCCAUCCCAACCCUCUGCUUCUGAGAGUGCAACUGUACCAUGAAGUUUUUAAAGAAAACCAAACUGACCACUAAAGGGGGUGUUAGUGACCCCUGGAGAUACACACAAGGACUGCUGUGCACCUGUUAAAAAUGGGUUACAUGGUGCAGAUAAGCUGUGUCAGCCUCAGGGACCCAGGCGUCCACUCUGGCAUUGGUGUUGUCCUCCCUACCUGGAACUCUGUCACCCGAUUUUCUCACAGACUGCAAGGACAAUAUAUAAUGUCACCAUGAGAAAGGGACAGGGAAGAGAAAGAUGAGGAAGAGGAGAGAAGAGAAGGACAUUAAGACAUGAAACACCAUGCUCUCUGAAAUGGCUGGAAUCCGCAAUGCUGGUGAAUAUCACCAGGGGUGAUUUAGGAAAGGGAGACUCUUCCGAUGAUGUGAGCAUGGCCACUCCGGAAGCAGCGUCUACAGAGUCUUCCAGGGACAAACACCGCUCACAGGAAAUCAGGCUUUGGAUCCAACAGCAGCUGGGUGCAGAGCUGGAGCUAUGGGGUCCCUGGAGCUACUCUUCUCCUGCAAUCGAUGCUGAGCCUCCCCAAGGAGACUCUCAACAUCUGUUCACGCCCUGCCUCCCAAGUUAGGAGCAGCUUGCCUGUGAUCCGAGCCUCCUACAGGGAGAUGGCUGCACUGAUGGCGGUACAAUCGGAAGUGACCAUAUGGGCCACCAUCUUGCAGCCAUCUGUGGCCAAAGGCAAUAGCACCUUGACCAGACACAAGGUUCAGACUUCCGGCCAGCUGCUCGGAUCCAACCAAAUGAAUCCUCCCCUGACCUGCAGGACAUCUACAGACCACUUGUGUGCAGGGCCAUUCUGCAUGUAGAGGAAGUCCCCAGGGCCCACUUCCAGGUUUCCUGCGGUCAGGCUGGCUAUCCCACGAAACCUGAUUCUCCUGAGACCAGCAAUGGCGCCUUCCUUGUUUUCACAUACAUCUACACAAUGCUCAGACUCUUGGGUCUUCAGAGUAUGGGAAAGGGAGACACUGAGUGCAGGCUUCUGCCUACAAAUCCCUAUUUCUUAGUAUGAAAACUCUAAUAAUAAACAUGAUCCAGAGUCUUGUAUCUUCACACAGGUAACUAACUGCACUAACAAAAGGUAUGUGGACUGGAUUAUCUCUACACUGGCUCUCACCACCACUACCCUCUUGGUUUUACACCAGCCUCUCCAAAGCCAGACACAUCCAUAACUCACCAGCAUGUUGUUCUGACAUGGACUGUCUGCAUGAGUAUACCAUGAACUGCCCUUGUGUCGUAACAAUUUUUAUGUGAGAUUAAAUCAAGGUUAGACGUACCAAUGGGAUGAAUACUUCUGUGUUAUAAAUGCUCUUAUAAAGUUUUAUAAAUAAGCUUGAGUACAUAUUUUCCUUUUGUCUAAUAAGAUAGAAAAAAACCCACCAUCGUCAGCAUCUUCAUUAAAAUCGUGUUAUGCUGUUAGCAAAACAAACAGAAAAACAUUUGACAUAUUUAUGUGGUGAUUACAUUAAAAAAGAUUACUUCCCGUCAGUCUUCCUGACUGAUUGUACCAAGCCAUCUGUGCUUGUAAAAAACAAUAAUGAACAAUGACUAUCAUAGGCCAUAUGCACGUGGUUGUUUAGUGGUGAUUAAGCAAUAAUCUCCAAGCAAUCACUUGUUAGCUGUGGUAAUAGCUUAAAGGUGAUUGUUUCAUAAUAAAUGAUAAUCAAUUAUUUAUAACAGUAAUAAUAGUUCUAAAAUCCCCCCUAUCUUUGUAAGUUGCCCAUGGCCAUAGGCUGUCUGUCUGAGAGGCUUUGUUGUGAAUUAGUAAUCCUGUUGUGUUAAUGGCAAAUUUUCCACAAAUCCAAGUUCUGGCUAUGGCCUAUUAGAUUUUUUUAAAUACGUAUUUAUAGCGCUUACAAAGCUGUGAUUGCUCAGAAUACCUCAUCCCCCUUAU